CUACACCUGUUUGGUUAUGCUUUCAGUAC
rnacentral:piRNA from 1 species